rnacentral:rRNA from 1 species
UACGGGGGGGGCAAGCGUUGUUCGGAAUUACUGGGCGUAAAGGGCUCGUAGGUGGCCAACUAAGUCAGACGUGAAAUCCCUCGGCUUAACCGGGGAACUGCGUCUGAUACUGGAUGGCUUGAGUUUGGGAGAGGGAUGCGGAAUUCCAGGUGUAGCGGUGAAAUGCGUAGAUAUCUGGAGGAAUACCGGUGGCGAAGGCGGCAUCCUGGACCGGCAUUGACGCUGAGGCGCGAAAGCCAGGGGAGCAAACAGG